GUAGUCUCGCACAGAUGCAUAUCAAUAAGCGGAGGAAAAGAAACUAACAAGGAUUCCCUUAGUAACGGCGAGUGAAGCGGGAAGAGCUCAAAUUUGAAAUCUUCAAGGUUUUACCUUGACGAAUUGUAGUUUAAAGAAGUGUUUUCUGUUGAAGUUUUGGUAAAAGUUCUUUGGAAUAGGACAUCAUAGAGGGUGAGAAUCCCGUAUUUGACCAUUAUUUUCAGCUGUGUGAUACACUUUCAAAGAGUUGGAUUGUUUGGGAAUGCAGUCCAAAAUGAGUGGUAAAUUUCAUCUAAAGCUAAAUAUUGGCGAGAGACCGAUAGCGAACAAGUACCGUGAGGGAAAGAUGAAAAGAACUUUGAAAAGAGAGUUAAACAGUACGUGAAAUUGUCAAAAGGGAAGCGUUUGACACCAGUGUUGUUUUCUCGAAAAUCAAUUAAAAAGAGUUAGAUUUUGUUGUGUAUUGACCUUAACAGCUUGCAUUUCAAUCUUUCUUGCUUUUUUUAAUGCACUUUUCGUUUAACAAGUCAACAUCAGUUUCUUUUGUUGUAAAAAGGUCAUUGGAAGGUGGCUUUCUUUUCGGAGAAAGUGUUUAUAGCCUUUGACUCCUGCAAUCGGAGAGACUGAGGUCUGCAGCGUAGAUCCUUCGGGGUUAGAUACAUUUGUGCUAAGUUAUAGCUUUUUAUAGACAACUUGUUGACUAUGAUUAGUCUUGUAGCUUACUCGCUUAUGCUAUUUUACCUACGCUUAGGAUGUUGAGCGCAUGUCUCUCUCU
rnacentral:rRNA from 1 species